rnacentral:rRNA from 1 species
CAGUCGCCACGGUAAUACGUAGGGUGCAAGCGUUAAUCGGAUUUACUGGGCGUAAAGCGUGCGUAGGCGGCUUCUUAAGUCGGAUGUGAAAUCCCUGAGCUUAACUUAGGAAUUGCAUUCGAUACUGGGAAGCUAGAGUAUGGGAGAGGAUGGUAGAAUUCCAGGUGUAGCGGUGAAAUGCGUAGAGAUCUGGAGGAAUACCGAUGGCGAAGGCAGCCAUCUGGCCUAAUACUGACGCUGAGGUACGAAAGCAUGGGGAGCAAACAGGAUUAGAUACCCCAGUAGUCCCUGUCUCUUAUAC